AAAUUAAUACAUUUAAUACUCAUAAUUUGAUGUAAACACCAUAAUGUAAGUAAGCUAUCCCCCCAAAAAAUUGUCUGCAAAUAUUCAUAAUCUUAUUCCCUUUCAUGUCUGCAAAGUAUUCAGAGUGACUUUCAUUUGCAGAAAUGAUUUUCUCCCAACCCAGGGUUCGAAUCCAGAUCACGCACUGCAGGGUCCAUUCAGGGGUGGCGCUCCCAACAUGAUUUUCUCCAUACCCAAGACUCGAACCCGAGACCUCUGGUUAAUGGUGAAUCAGAAAUGAUUCAUCUUAGCAAAAUGCAAGUUUUGAAGUAAUGAGACUUGGAGGAUUCCUCAUGCUACUCCCUAGGAACAACAAAUUCCAGCUCUAAGGAUAUCAAAACACCAUGUAGAUUAGCUAAAACUGGCCAGUAGAAGUUCCUCAAUCUAACUUACAACAUUACCUGGAAUACCUGAAAUUUUGAUUCAAGUAGCCAAAAAAACACCAGAUGUGAAUAGACGAUGAUCAAGCAAAUUCAAGACUUUAUAAGAAGAUCCUUGAAAGAUCACUGGAGUCCUUAUACACCAAAAUGAUCAUAAGGAAGUAGAAAGAACAGCCCUUUCCUAUUGAUCUAAUUUGUUAGGAACAACUUGAAGGCCAACAUGAGAAUCAUAGCUUUGGUGGAGAAAACAUGAAGGAACAGGGCAGGAGAACACAAUCUCAUUACAUAAAUCACAUAUAGAAUUAGCCACAGCACCAUCUCUUUACCAGAUAUAGCCGAGUGUGUAGGAU
rnacentral:lncRNA from 1 species